CUACGUAGGUGGCGAGCGUUGUCCGGAAUUACUGGGUGUAAAGGGCGUGUAGGCGGGGAUGCAAGUCAGAUGUGAAAUGCCGAGGCUUAACCUCGGGGCUGCAUCUGAGACUGUGUUUCUUGAGUGUCGGAGAGGAAAGCGGAAUUCCCAGUGUAGCGGUGAAAUGCGUAGAGAUUGGGAGGAACACCAGUGGCGAAGGCGGCUUUCUGGACGACAACUGACGCUGAGGCGCGAAAGCGUGGGGAGCAAACAGGAUUAGAUACCCUGGUAGUCCACGCCGUAAACGAUGGAUACUAGGUGUAGGAGGUAUCGACCCCUUCUGUGCCGGAGUUAACACAAUAAGUAUCCCACCUGGGGAGUACGGCCGCAAGGUUGAA
rnacentral:rRNA from 1 species